CAAGUCGAGCUGGUAACUUGAAUUCUCUUGCUAAUUUGCUGACUAACGGCUGAGAGCUGACUCACGCGUACGAAUCUGCCUGGUGAUGGGGGACAUCAUGUGGAAACCCCCCUUCAUGGGAAAGACUCCCUACAGAGGGAAGGACGGGAUCUUCAUUCCUUUCUUGGUGGGGUAAUCCUGCAUGAGAUUAGCUAGUUGGUGGGGUAAAGGCUCACCGAGGCGACAAUCUCUAACUGGUCUGAGAGGAUGAUCCCCCACACUGGCACUGAGACGGAACCCUGACUCCUGCGGGAGGCACCAGUGGGGAAUAUUGGACAAUGGGGGCAACCCUGAACCACCCGUGACCUCUGUCUGUAGUCCGCCUUAGGACUGUAACCCACUAUCAGGAGCCAGUAAGGUUGU
rnacentral:rRNA from 1 species